UACGAGGGGGGCAAAUGUUGUUCGGAAUCACUGGGCGUAAAGGGCGCGUAGGCGGCCGCUCAAGUCGGGGGUGAAAUCUUUCAGCUUAACUGGAAAAUAGCCUCCGAUACUGGGCGGCUCGAGGGAGAUAGGGGUGCGCGGAACUUCCGGUGGAGCGGUGAAAUGCGUAGAUAUCGGAAGGAACGCCGGUGGCGAAAGCGGCGCACUGGAUCUCCACUGACGCUGAGGCGCGAAAGCCAGGGGAGCAAACGGG
rnacentral:rRNA from 1 species